rnacentral:rRNA from 1 species
ACACGUAAGUUGCGAGCGUUGUUCGGAAUUAUUGGGCGUAAAGGGCAUGUAGGCGGUCUUGCAAGUCUGGUGUGAAAUUCCGUGGCUCAACCACGGAACUGCGUUGGAAACUGCAUGACUGGAGUCGCUGAGGGGCAGGCAGAAUUCCUGGUGUAGGGGUGAAAUCUGUAGAUAUCAGGAAGAAUACCAAUGGCGAAGGCAGCCUGCCAGCAGAUGACUGACGCUGAGGUGCGAAGGUGCGGGGAGCAAACAGGAUUAGAUACCCUGGUAGUCCGCACAGUCAACUAUGUGCACUGGAUGUCCGGACAGAAGUCUGGGUGUCGAAGCAAACGCGAUAAGUGCACCGCCUGGGGAGUAUGCCCGCAAGGGUGAAACUCAAAUGAAUUGACGGGG